UCCGUAGGUGAACCUGCGGAGGGAUCAUUACCGAGUUUACAACUCCCAAACCCAAUGUGACGUUACCAAACUGUUGCCUCGGCGGGAUCUCUGCCCCGGGUGCGUCGCAGCCCCGGACCAAGGCGCCCGCCGGAGGACCAACCAAAACUCUUAUUGUAUACCCCCUCGCGGGUUUUUUUAUAAUCUGAGCCUUCUCGGCGCCUCUCGUAGGCGUUUCGAAAAUGAAUCAAAACUUUCAACAACGGAUCUCUUGGUUCUGGCAUCGAUGAAGAACGCAGCGAAAUGCGAUAAGUAAUGUGAAUUGCAGAAUUCAGUGAAUCAUCGAAUCUUUGAACGCACAUUGCGCCCGCCAGUAUUCUGGCGGGCAUGCCUGUCCGAGCGUCAUUUCAACCCUCGAACCCCUCCGGGGGGUCGGCGUUGGGGAUCGGCCCUGCCUUGGCGGUGGCCGUCUCCGAAAUACAGUGGCGGUCUCGCCGCAGCCUCUCCUGCGCAGUAGUUUGCACACUCGCAUCGGGAGCGCGGCGCGUCCACAGCCGUUAAACACCCAACUUCUGAAAUGUUGACCUCGGAUCAGGUAGGAAUACCC
rnacentral:rRNA from 1 species